UCGGAAUUAGAGACCGGCGCACGGGUGCGUAACGCGUAUGCAAUCUACCUUUCACAGAGGGAUAGCCCAGAGAAAUUUGGAUUAAUACCUCAUAGUAUAGCAGUUUCGCAUGAAACCACUAUUAAAGUCACAACGGUGAAAGAUGAGCAUGCGUCCCAUUAGCUAGUUGGUAAGGUAACGGCUUACCAAGGCUACGAUGGGUAGGGGUCCUGAGAGGGAGAUCCCCCACACUGGUACUGAGACACGGACCAGACUCCUACGGGAGGCAGCAGUGAGGAAUAUUGGACAAUGGGCGCAAGCCUGAUCCAGCCAUGCCGCGUGCAGGAUGACGGUCCUAUGGAUUGUAAACUGCUUUUGCACAGGAAGAAACAACGCUACGUGUAGCGUCUUGACGGUACUGUGAGAAUAAGGAUCGGCUAACUCCGUGCCAGCAGCCGCGGUAAUACGGAGGAUCCAAGCGUUAUCCGGAAUCAUUGGGUUUAAAGGGUCCGUAGGCGGUUUAGUAAGUCAGUGGUGAAAGCCCAUCGCUCAACGGUGGAACGGCCAUUGAUACUGCUAGACUUGAAUUAUUAGGAAGUAACUAGAAUAUGUAGUGUAGCGGUGAAAUGCUUAGAGAUUACAUGGAAUACCAAUUGCGAAGGCAGGUUACUACUAAUGGAUUGACGCUGAUGGACGAAAGCGUGGGUAGCGAACA
rnacentral:rRNA from 1 species